GCAAAACCAUGAAUAUGUGAGGGAACGCUGAUAUAUGCUAUCUCUUAUUUGUUGUAGAUGUAUUCCAUUCUAUUGGCAUAGAACGAUAGGAAAAUGGCAUCAAGGAAGUAGGGAUGCCACCAAACUUUAUGAGACUAGACAUAACCUUGCACAUAGAAUUGCUGAACAUAAAGGUAUUUCUCCUUGAACUAAUAAUCAACCAGCUGUUCCAUCAUUUUCAGCAAUAAGUCCCCAUUCACAUGAACAUGAUCAUCCCUUUUUGUGACAAAGUUUUUAGAAUACUACACAAGACAGAGUCCAAUAUGGAUACAAAAUUAUUAGAGGCAAUAUAUAUUAAACACAUAAAUCCAGUACUGAAUAAUAACUUAACAUCAAGUCAAUCACAUAUUGUAAGAUAAUGUUUCAGAGGCCCGUUCCAAUACCAUUAUCAUAGUGUUAGGAACCCAACUUUUUCAGUCCCUCUCUCAUUGCCAUACAGGCAAGAUGUGUGUGGAUACUUAUUGUUUUCUGUCAAUCCAGUUUAUAAUCUUGGUGCUUGUAGUGUUUUGUUUUUUGUGUGUAGUGUCAUAUGAUGUGAAUUUUAUACAACUUUUACAUAGUAUUUUAUUGUUUUUUCUAGCUUGAAGCUGCCUGCAGAAAUAAGCAAAACAGCAACUGACGAAAGAAUAAAGUUGAAGGAAACUGGAGUUUCCCUGCAAAACAAGCUAUCAAGAAGACCUAUACAAUUCAAAGUGUCUGGCUAAGAGUUGGAGAUCUGGCAGAGAAGCUGUGGCCAGAGGAAGGAGGCUUGGCUGCUGCACCAGACCCAUAGACCACAUCUUUGGAGUGGCUUUGGCCUUGAGGUGCAGCCAGGUAGCUGUAGCUCACCACCUGCCAGAGAAAAGCUUUUUUAACCUCACUGCCUGCCAGGGAAGAGCUUUUUUAAUUUCCAUUUUAAUCUUACAUGAUUAAGGUCAUAUGAUUAAUAGUUAUACCAUCUUCUGUAUAUCUAGCCUGGAGGUUGAGAUGUGAUGGAAUGAUUCCAAAUGUGAAUGUAUACCAUAUUAAAUCCUUGUCUCUACUUUCCUCCAAAUGAGAUCCAUGGGCCUUGUAAAAAAAAGUUGGGAGUCCAAUCUUUUAAAACUAGUAACUCUAAUAUUAGAGAUUUGAGAGACAGAAUGAAGCAUAAUUAAAGCUUUGAUAAGCAUUUAUAAAUCUG